rnacentral:rRNA from 1 species
UGGGGAAUUUUGGGCAAUGGGCGAAAGCCUGAUCCAGCAAUGCCGCGUGUGUGAAGAAGGCCUUCGGGUUGUAAAGCACUUUUGUCCGGAAAGAAAUCCUUGGCUCUAAUACAGUCGGGGGAUGACGGUACCGGAAGAAUAAGCACCGGCUAACUACGUGCCAGCAGCCGCGGUAAUACGUAGGGUGCAAGCGUUAAUCGGAAUUACUGGGCGUAAAGCGUGCGCAGGCGGUUUGCUAAGACCGAUGUGAAAUCCCCGGGCUCAACCUGGGAACUGCAUUGGUGACUGGCAGGCUAGAGUAUGGCAGAGGGGGGUAGAAUUCCACGUGUAGCAGUGAAAUGCGUAGAGAUGUGGAGGAAUACCGAUGGCGAAGGCAGCCCCCUGGGCCAAUACUGACGCUCAUGCACGAAAGCGUGGGGAGCAAACAGGAUUAGAUACCCUGGUAGUCCACGCCCUAAAACGAUGUCAACUAGUUGUUGGGGAUUCAUUUCCUUAGUAACGUAGCUAACGCGUGAAGUUGACCGCCUGGGGAGUACGGUCGCAAGAUUAAAACUCAAAGGAAUUGACGGGGUCAUAGCUGUUUCCU